GACGAACGCUGGCGGCGCGCUUAACACAUGCAAGUCGAACGGAAAGGCCUGCUUUCCCUUGUGGAUUGCGGGUACUCGAGUGGCGAACGGGUGAGUAACACGUGAGUGAUCUGCCCCCAACUUGGGUAUAAGCCUGGGAAACUGGGUCUAAUUCCCGAUAGGACUGCAGGGUGGUGCCUGUGGUGGAAAACGAUUUUCUAGUGGUUGGGGAUGAGCUCGCGGCCUAUCAGCUUGUUGGUGGGGUAAUGGCCUACCAAGGCGGCGACGGGUAGCCGGCCUGAGAGGGUGGACGGCCACAUUGGGACUGAGAUACGGCCCAGACUCCUACGGGAGGCAGCAGUGGGGAAUAUUGCACAAUGGGCGGAAGCCUGAUGCAGCGACGCCGCGUGGGGGAUGACGGCCUUCGGGUUGUAAACUCCUUUCGACCGCGAGGAAGCCACCUGGUUGGAAGGGUGGUGACGGUAGUGGUAGAAGAAGCACCGGCCAACUACGU
rnacentral:rRNA from 1 species